GAUACACACUGGCCCAUACACACACAGAUACACACAUUGCAAUACACACUGGCUGAUACACUCAAGUAUGUACACACACUGACACACAGAUACACACACUUAGAUGCACACACUGACAUUCAAUACACACUGGAACAUACACACACACUCAGAUACACACUGACACACAUACACACACGCAGAUACACACACUGGCACAUGCCCUCACUGACAUAUAGAUAGACACUGGCACAUACACACACAUACUCAAAUACACAAUGAC